rnacentral:misc_RNA from 1 species
AGGGCUUGACAUGUUGGUGACAGCCGUGGAAACACGGUUUUCCUUCGGGACACCAUCACAGGUGGUGCAUGGCUGUCGUCAGCUCGUGCCGUGAGGUGUUGGGUUAAGUCCCGCAACGAGCGCAACCCCCGUCCCAUGUUGCCAGCGGAUAAUGCCGGGGACUCAUGGGAGACUGCCGGUGACAAACCGGAGGAAGGUGGGGAUGACGUGAGUCAGUCAA